rnacentral:rRNA from 1 species
CCCUUAGAUGUUCUGGGCCGCACGCGCGCUACACUGAUGCAUGCAGCAAGUCUUUUCCUUGGCCGAGAGGCCUGGGCAAUCUUUGAAUAUGCAUCGUGAUGGGGAUAGACGAUUGCAAUUAUUCGUCUUCAACGAGGAAUUCCUAGUAAACGCAAGUCAUCAGCUUGCAUUGAUUACGUCCCUGCCCUUUGUACACACCGCCCGUCGCACCUACCGAUUGAAUGGUCCGGUGAAAUCUCGGGACGGCGGCUUGGUCGCUUGCGUCCGACUGCUGAAACUUGAUUAAACCAUAUCAUUUAGAGGAAGGUGAAGUCGUAACA